UCUAUCUCUGUCUUUCUCUGUUUCUCUUUGUCUGUCCGUUUCUGUCAGUAUGUUUUUCUGUCUCUUUCUCUAACUGGAUCUCUUUCUCUGUCUAGGUCUCUGUCUCUUUUCUGUCUCUGUCUGUCUCCCCUUCUCUGUGUGUCUCUCUGUCUCUCCCUCUCUAUUAUGUCUCCCAUUGCUGGAAACCAAGUCCUUCCUAUAGAAAACACCUAAUACAUGUUUGUUGUUUUGAAACUGAAUGCUUUGGAUGAGCAGCUCACCUUUUCAAUGAGUGAGUGUUUGCUCCUUUUUCUCCCCACUCUCCUGUGAUCCUGUAAUCUGGUUUCUAUGCUGUUUAUUCCUUCAGCUCCAGUUAAUUACAGCCAGUCACAAACCAGAGGCCACUUUAUCAUUGAGCACAAACUGGUUGGAGAGAUCAUAAUGAAUAGACUGAAGAAUAACCCAUGCCACCAGAGACGACCACCAGUUUAAGGUUUUGUCAGAGAUUGUCCCUAAUAUUGCAUUGUACAACCACUGUACUUUAUCUUGUGCCUCAAUUUUCCUUUUACAAUAGUAGCUAUUGACUCCAUAUCACCUUUAUUUUUUAAAAUCAGAACUGCUUCCAGACCAAAGUCCAUCUGAAGACAUCUUUCACAUUUUCUAUUUCCAGAUUUUGUUCUAGAGCUCCACCUACUUGAUGAUAGUAACCAAGGUUUGUCAUCUGACCCAUCCCUAACCAAUGGACUUCUACCAUUUCACAAUCAUUGACUUGACUUCCUGUUUAUUAUUUGAGCUUUCAUUUUCAGAUAGAACACCAGAAUAUAGCCACACUCUUAAGAGAUCUCCCCUGGAUGUCAAGAUCAGCACCAGAUCAAGCCUCUGAAUGAUUUUUUGAAGUGACAGAACCCACAAAUAUUUGGAGUAUAACAAAUUUCCAGCAGAAGAUAUUUUUGGAAGAACUACAUAAAAGGUGAAGAAGAGACAAAAACCAAUGGAUCCCCAAGUGAGAAAUGCUAUAAGGAACAUCAUUGGUUUGUGGACAAUAUCAUAUUUCUUUUCUACAUCCAUCUUUUUUACCUACAGAAAACGUCUUCAGAAAGUAGCUUUUCUGUGGCACGUGCAUGGGAUCCUGUCAGUGACUUAUUCAAUGGAAGUGGGUGCUUGUAUUUGUUUUUUGUGGGCAAAGCACAGUUGUCCAGGAUUUAUUCACGAGGAAGAUUGGACGAAUUGGUGUUGGAGCCUCAUUUUGCUCUCCAUCACAUUCUUAACAAUAUUUUUUUUUAAAUUUAUAAUUCAAUAUUAUUUCUCUUUUUUUAUGAUACUGAUGUUUUCAAUUAAUUUCACCAAUAUUGACAGCAUCAUCUUUUUGAUGUCUGUAUUAAGGAUAUAUUUUUUGCGUUUUCUUCCCAAACUUUUAGAGUCAAGCUCUGCUUCUGGUGGAUAGGGGGCCCUAUCCCAAGCUUCCUGUACAGGUUUUGAGCAUAAGGUUUGCAGGGGGAAGUUUUGCCUACUCUUUUCAGGUAAAUAGGCUAGUUUCUCAGAAUUUGCCUUCUGAGCUAGGACUGGAAGCUAUCCCAUUGAUUUGCUCUUCUACUGAGCCAGGACUGAGGGUCUUAAGGUGCUCAUGAGCUGUGAUUAAGACUCUCUCACCAGUGUCCCACAAUCUAUCUGAGCUGGCCAGAACACCUUUUUCACUCCAGUGCAGCUGAUCUUUCUUGAAGUUUUUCCAAUCUCUCUUGAGCUGGAGAGUAGUUUCAUUCUAGUUAUGUAAAUUAUGUAAAACAUUUCCAUAUUAGUCAUUUUGUACAAGAAGUCUAAAUUAAAAGAAAAAAAAGCAAUAAAGUGACAACUAGCAUGCUUCACACUA